rnacentral:snRNA from 1 species
ACAUGUGAGGGCAUUUGGUGGUAAGAUCUGUCACACACCAUUUAUCACAAGGUUGACUGGCUGGUCUGGUUGGCUAUAUGAGUGACACCUUCCUCCCUCACUACUUCAUAUUCAUCCUUCCUGUCGAUGCUGGCUUCUUGGAGGAUGGCCUUCUCCUACAGGUGGGGAUUAUGCCCCAGCCAAGAUGUGUGAGUAACUACACUCCCUGCUAGAACCUCCAGACAACUAAACAAGCUCUCCAGGUCCCUUUAGAAGGGACCAUUAGUUAGUCAGGAUUGUUUUUAGAGAGAGAAAAAAAUAAUCGUAAUAAACUAAUUAAAGCAGCAUAGGAUGAUUU